GUGCUUGCCUUGGCAGUACAUAUACUAAAAUUGGAAUGAUACAGAGAAGAUUAGCAUGGGUCCUGUUCAAGGAUGAUAUGCAAAUUCAUGUGAAGCCUUUCAUGUCA